GUAUAUUUGCUUUGAAGUGUUUUUCAUACCUGACAAGGCAAUCUGUUCCAUUCAUAACUGACAAGGCAACUUUUGUCCCAUCAAAUAUAACAUCUACACUAAGCCUGACCAGAGCUGGCGUUGGGGUUGAUGGUGUCUGGGAUACAUGUGUUAGAGGGAACAGCUAAAGUGAGCCCGUCCAUUCCUUCACGCAGUGCUGAGUGCAUCCACAUACACAUAGAGCAAGAAGAACUCUUGAUCCAGUAAUCACACCAUCUUGGGAAAGAAUCUAACCCACACAGGGAAGAAGCAAAGUGUAGUACACU
rnacentral:lncRNA from 1 species